AUUGAACGCUGGCGGCAUGCUUUACACAUGCAAGUCGAACGGUAGAGGGGGCAACCCCUUGAGAGUGGCGAACGGGUGAGUAAUGCAUCGGAACGUGCCCAGUCGUGGGGGAUAACGCGGCGAAAGCUGUGCUAAUACCGCAUACGAUCUCUGGAUGAAAGCGGGGGACCGAAAGGCCUCGCGCGAUUGGAGCGGCCGAUGUCAGAUUAGGUAGUUGGUGGGGUAAAGGCUCACCAAGCCAACGAUCUGUAGCUGGUCUGAGAGGACGACCAGCCACACUGGGACUGAGACCCGGCCCAGACUCCUACGGGAGGCAGCAGUGGGGAAUUUUGGACAAUGGGCGCAAGCCUGAUCCAGCAAUGCCGCGUGCAGGAAGAAGGCCUUCGGGUUGUAAACUGCUUUUGUACGGAACGAAAAGGUCUGGGUUAAUACCCUGGGCACAUGACGGUACCGUAAGAAUAAGCACCGGCUAACUACGUGCCAGCCGCCGCGGUAA
rnacentral:rRNA from 1 species